rnacentral:tRNA from 1 species
GGAGAGGUGGCCGAGCUGGCCGAAGGCGCUCCCCUGCUAAGGGAGUAUACUGGCAAAACCGGUAUCGCGGGUUCAAAUCCCGCCCUCUCCGCCA